GAUUAUAUGAGAAAAUUUGAAUGUAUUGCCAGUAUUUUUUUUUCUUUUUCUCUUUUUCUUGGCAGCAUUUAAGUAGAAAAUUUCAGGGAAUGUCAGUCCAUGUUUUCCAUGAGUGUGGAUGGCACACAAUAGUAAGCAUUCUUUUUUAGUAUGUUAACUUGUACGGUAGUCCACACCCAUGGGGCUUUGGAAUUAAAGAUGCCUUUUGAAGCACAGUUACUCUGACAGAAAUUACAUGGAAUGUCGCAGAAAUAACAUAAUUUCUCUCUUAAGUUAAAGCUAGUAUUCUUUUCUUUUUUGCACUCUGGUCCUGAGACUUGAACUUAGGACCUCACAUACUUGAGAUAUGUAUUCUGUGACUAAGGUGUUCUGUGCAUGUAUGUGAAGGGGCAUAUUAGAGGUGCAUGAGUAUGUAGAAGCUAGAUGUCAGCCUCAGGUGUCAUUCUUUAGGUACUGUGUGCUUUUUUUAAACAUGGAGUUUUGGGAAUGAAACUCAGGUUGAAUGAGCCAUUUUUCCUGCCCCUAGCCCAUUUUUUUGAGAUAUGGUGUCAUGUAGCCCAGGCUGUCCUUGAACUCAUUAAAUAGCCAAGGAUGGCCUUGAAAUUCUUUUCCAGAUUUAAGACCAGUGUUUGAUCAGAAUAUAGUAGUAUUGUAUUUAUUCAUAUAGUUGCUUUCUAGUUAUGACAUGUAAUGUUGGUAAGUACAUAAUUAUAUAUGUUAUACAUAAUUGAAAUAUAUAUGUAUAUUUCCUGUCCAUUAGAGACUACUUAAUAAGCAACACUGUAGCAAAAUGUUCUCCUUACAUCUGCCUCCUUAGUCGUUAAAAUUGAUGAGGUAGAAAUGAAUCUUGUUUUAGAAGUUAGCUGUGAGUGUAGCAGAGUAUAGAGCUGGCCUGCUCAGGUAAGGUGCCACUCUACAGUAUAACUAACCUCUGAGGCCAUCUGCUGUAGCGGUAGUUUCUACAGCGCCUUGGCUCCCAGCAGGUCGGGAGCAAUCUGGAUUCAGGAAUGAAGGACACACACAUACACACACCAGUUAAUUUUUGACAUGUUGUGAUUAGCUCAAAGACUGGGUACUCCUAAACUCUCCCCUGCUGGCAAAUUCUCCUCUGUUGCUCCUGAGACUCGUAAAUCUUCCCCUGCUACCCCAGGCCCAGUUGGGGAAAUGGCCACUUCCCUGAAUUCUUCCAUGACUGGUUGGCUUUCUCUCCUGCAGCUCUUAUGCCCCACCCUUCUCCCCUGAGUCAUGAUGAUUCCCCCAGUUCCUUCCACGCAAAUCUAAAGGUGCUGCCUCAGUCUGCCUGCACAACCAUUGAUCAUUGGCUCUUUUUGAUCCAUCAAAAACCAGCUGGGGACAAGGAUCUUCAGUGUUUGGAUACACAGAUACCCUAUUUUGGGGGCCAGAUUAAUUCAAAGCAUUGGAACCAAUUUCCAACAAUAUGCUCUCUAGAUUUGCUAAACCCAUUCAUAUUCAUGUCCACACAUUUAGGAAAGUAACAGCACACAGUUUUAUAUACAAUAUACUGGAGCCAUCCAGGUAGAAGAUACUUGUAUAGGUGUAACCAGGGAAAUUGGAACUAUGAUUUAGAUAGUCAAUUUUCAUUUAAAUUGUUGGAAAGCUCUUUAUUUGUUAAAUAAUGAUUAUUAUCACAUGUUAAUUAUGAAAGUUAAUGGGUUUCAUUGUGACAUUCCCAUCUAUGUAAAUGUUUCCUCUGACCAUUCUCCUGUUCUUUCCUUUUCUCACAGUCCAUAGUCCUUCUUCAUUUCCAGGUUAUCUUUCUGUUGUUCAGUUUUCGAACGGAAGAGGAAACAUGCAUCGCUUGUCCCUCUGUGUUUGUUUUACUUCAUUUAACAUGAUGCUGCCCGGUUCCUCCAUUUCCCGCAAACGUCCGUGACUUCAUUCACCUUGCUGUGUAGUUACCAUAUUUUCUCCACCUGCUCACAUGGUGAUGGGCAUAUAGGCUGAUUUCAUAUUUUGACUCUUAUGAAUAGUAACAUAAGAAUAUGAAUAUGUAUUUUGUCUGCUGACUUCAUUUCCUUCUGAUGAAUACCCAACAGUGUAUAGCUGGAUCAUACGCAGCUCUAUUCUUAUCUUUUGAGGAGCUUGCCUUCUGUUUUCCAUAGUGGUUCUAACUAAUUUACAUCUGCCUCCAGGACACAGUUCCUUUUUUUCCACUUCCUCACCAGCCUUUGCUAACUGUUCUUAUAAUACACAUUGGAUUCAGGGUGGCAUGGGAUCUCGAUACAGCUCAGAUUUGCGUUUCCCGCUGAGCCCCUCCCCCAUUUCUUUUCUGUUUUUAGAGGCGGUCCUAUUCUUAUACCUUAGUUUGACCUUGAAUGCUGCCUAGGAUAACCUUGAACUUCUGAUCCUUCUGCUUGUAUUUCCUGGUGCUGGAAUUAAAGUGUUUGUUUAUUUAUUGCAGCACUUGGAGUCAAACCCAGGGCUUUUUUUGUUUGUUUGUUUGUUUUGAGACAGGGUUUCUCUGUAUAGCCCUGGCUGUCCUGGAACUCACUUUGUAGACCAGGCUGGCCUCGAACUCAGAAAUCUGCCUGCCUCUGCCUCCUGAGUGCUGGGAUUAAAGGCGUGUGCCACCAUGCCUGGCAAACCCAGGGCUUCUUGAGUGUGAGGCAAAACACUCUACCAGUUGGGCCACAUCCCCAGCCCCAGCCUCAGACAUCUGCGUGCCUCUGCCUCCUCGGUGCUGAGAUUAAAACCGUUUGCUAGCCCGGACUUUCUUUUAAUAAAUGUCUCUUCAGAUCAUUAGCCCGAUAUGUCAGUACACUGUCUUCAGAUGCACCAGAAGAGGGCAUCAGAUCUCAUUAAGGGUGGUUGUGAGCCACCAUGUGGUUGCUGGAAUUUUGAACUUAGGACCUUCGGAAGAGCAAUAGGGUGCUCUUACCCACUGAGCCAUCUCACCAGCCCCAAAUAAAUAAAUCU
rnacentral:lncRNA from 1 species